rnacentral:rRNA from 1 species
CUGCAUAAGUUGUGUCGGUGGCAUAUCAUGAAGAAGUACAAAGACCACCUCGCCUUGCUGUAUAAGGCGCACGAGAAACUCAAGGAUGAUCUCAGUGCAGUGGUCAACCACCCACUAAUGCCGUGAGAAUUUGAACGAGCAUGGAAGGACCUCAUUCAGAGAUACAACUUGCAAGACGACAAAGUGAUGAAUUCGCUGUGGGAAGAUAGGCAUGAGUGGAUCUCGGCUUACUACAAGGAAGUUUUCUGUGCUCGGAUGACUUCCACGCAGAGAAGCGAGAGGAUGAACCGCAUACUGAAGCAAAACUUUGUCAAAGAGAAGCAUGAUCUCCAUCUGUUUGCUCAGCAGGUGGACAAGUGCAUUCAGACCAGGAAGGUCGUCGAGCACGCACAGACAGUAGCAAAUGAGUUAGAGGUAAAGACAACAACCCAGUUUGGGUUCGAAGUUCAGCUAUCAAAAGUGUAUACAAGGGCAGUGUUUGCAGAUUUCAAAGAAACACUCUACCGUAGCACUCCAUUCAGAGCAGAACGGUGCCCUGAGAACCUGACAAAGUAUCUCGUACACCACUACAACAGAUCGAAUGCAUUUGACUGGGCAAGGCAUAAUUUCCAAGUGGUCGCCGAUGAACAGAAAGGUGUCUACGAAUGUGAAUGCAAACUCUAGACACACACAGGGCUCUUUUGCGUCCAUGUGUUAUGCUUGCUUUCUCAUUCGAGAGUGCUCAAGAUUCCUGAGGUGUACAUCAUGAAAAGAUACACCCGUAACGCAAGAUCAUAUGCGACGUUUGACAAAAGAGAUUAUGAACAAACAGCACUAGAUGGAACAUCGCUUUUUUGCCGUAGAAAAUUGCUGACAGAAACAGCAAUGGACCUUGCAAACAGAGCAACAAGGUCCGAC